rnacentral:rRNA from 1 species
GUCUACAGCCGUACCACCCUGAAUGUGCCUGAUCUUGUCAGCUAAUCAGGGUCAUUCCUGGUUAGUACUUAGAUGGGAGACUGGGACUACCACAUGCUGUUGUUG